ACAGGAGAUGGAGUGUGUUACCCGCCCUGACACCAUGUUAGGGAACACAAGGACACCUGCCUCGUGGGGACACCAACAUAUGGAGGAUUCUACAGUAAAUGUGGCUGUGUCCAGCCCAGGGCUUUUCAAAACUUGCUGCGCAAAAUUCAAAAUGGAAGGUGAUUUUCAAGGUGAUUUUGGAAAAAGUCUCAGGAAUAAGAGAAGCCUUUAGGUGACGGCAGCCCUCUUGACAUCUUGACUGGAAUCCCAUGAGAUGCUCUGAACUACAACCAGCUAAGCUGCUCCGGGGGCCCUAACCCUUAGACUCUGUGACAUAAUAAAUCUGUUGCUCUA